AGUCGAACGGUAACAUGAGAGCUUGCUCUUGAUGACGAGUGGCGCAUGGGUGCGUAACGCGUAUGCAACCUACCCUUUACUGGAGGAUAGCCCGGAGAAAUUCGGAUUAAUACUCCAUAGUUCCUAAAAACUUCAUGGUUUACAGGAUAAAGAUUUAUUGGUAAAGGAUGGGCAUGCGUGACAUUAGUUAGUUGGUGAGGUAACGGCUCACCAAGACGAUGAUGUCUAGGGGUUCUGAGAGGAUGAUCCCCCACACUGGUACUGAGACACGGACCAGACUCCUACGGGAGGCAGCAGUAGGGAAUAUUGGUCAAUGGGCGAGAGCCUGAACCAGCCAUGCCGCGUGUAGGAAGACGGCCUUCUGGGUUGUAAACUACUUUUAUAUAGGAACAAAUAGACCAUGCGUGGUAAGUUGAGUGUACUAUAUGAAUAAGCACCGGCUAACUCCGUGCCAGCAGCCGCGGUAAUACGGAGGGUGCAAGCGUUGUCCGGAUUUAUUGGGUUUAAAGGGUGCGUAGGUGGCGUGUUAAGUCAGUGGUGAAAGCCUGCAGCUCAACUGUAGAGGUGCCAUUGAUACUGACAUGCUUGAGUAUGGAUGAGGUAGGCGGAAUUUGUGGUGUAGCGGUGAAAUGCAUAGAUACCACAAAGAACACCGAUAGCGAAGGCAGCUUACUGGACCAUAACUGACACUAAGGCACGAAAGUGUGGGUAGCGAACAGGAUUAGAUACCCUGGUAGUCCACACCGUAAACGAUGCUCACUCGAUGUAUGCGAUACACUGUAUGCGUCCAAGCGAAAGCGUUAAGUGAGCCACCUGGGGAGUACGCUC
rnacentral:rRNA from 1 species